CCCGUGUAGGCAGGUCACACGCCCAUGUGGGCAGGUCACACAUGUCUGUGCCCCUAAUCCAUUUAACUCUCUAUUUUGCAAUGCAUGAACAAAUUGAUGUCACACGGGCAAGUCACACGCCCGUAUGCCAGGCCAUGUGGUAAAUUAUAUUUUCAUAAAAUAGGUGCAGACUUCACACGAUCGAGACACACGCCCGUGCCUGAAGUUGUGUCCCUCAUGCGGCUGACACACACGCCCAUGUCUCUGCCCGUGUGCUCAAUUCUAAACAUUCUGUUUCUAAAAAUUAAGGUACAGGGGACACACGGCCAAAACACAUGCCCAUGG
rnacentral:lncRNA from 1 species